rnacentral:rRNA from 1 species
AUUGAACGCUGGCGGCAUGCUUUACACAUGCAAGUCGAACGGCAGCGCGGGCUUCGGCCUGGCGGCGAGUGGCGAACGGGUGAGUAAUACAUCGGAACGUGCCCAGUAGUGGGGGAUAGCUCGGCGAAAGCCGGAUUAAUACCGCAUACGACCUGAGGGUGAAAGCGGGGGAUCUUCGGACCUCGCGCUAUUGGAGCGGCCGAUGGCAGAUUAGCUAGUUGGUGGGGUAAAGGCCUACCAAGGCGACGAUCUGUAGCUGGUCUGAGAGGACGACCAGCCACACUGGGACUGAGACACGGCCCAGACUCCUACGGGAGGCAGCAGUGGGGAAUUUUGGACAAUGGGCGAAAGCCUGAUCCAGCAAUGCCGCGUGUGUGAUGAAGGCCUUCGGGUUGUAAAGCACUUUUGGCGGGAACGAAAAGGACUGUGCCAAUACCACGGUUCGAUGACGGUACCCGCAGAAUAAGCAUCGGCUAACUACGUG